rnacentral:lncRNA from 1 species
GGCAGGCGACCCUGGUGUCUCCGCUGAUGGACGGCGUCGGACGCGCGCUGCUGUCUUUCGAGCCGCCAGUUGUCAGUGUUUAAUCGCAUCCUUUCGGUCGUGAUUUGGGCUUGUCGAGUCUCGAUCCUAGCUGACUCCAUCUCAGCAUCCUGGUGGGCCUUUGCCAUCGCCUCUCUGAGCUUUGCUAACUCUGCGUUUAUCUCCUCUUGGUUCUCUGGCGUGAGGGGAGUCGCCAUUAGUCUCGUGAUUUCCGCCGCUAAAUCCACCAGGACUGCGGAUGCACUUCUGGAUGUCCCGCCGGUCCCAUCGCCUCUGGUAGGUUUUGUGCGGGUUGAGUUGCCCCAGCCAUGUAGAUGGCGAUCUCGCGGCGGGUUCGGUCAAGGACUUCCGGAUCCAUGGCCAGCGACAAGCCUCCGAGACCGUUCCCAUGGAGAGACCGGAUGGAAUCUAAGUCGCCCAUGGAUGACUCAUCGUCAGAGUUGACCGGGGUAACUUCCUGAGUUGCCAAGUGUUCUGGUUCCUCCGAUCCCUGCGUGAACCCCACAAAGACCGGGCGAGUUAAAUUCUGUGUUGCGACUGGGCGGACCUACCUGGCCGGCUCGACGAUGUCGGUGGAGAUGUACGGCUCAGGAACGGAUGAUCCGAUCAUGCCGAUGAAG